rnacentral:rRNA from 1 species
GAUGAACGCUGGCGGCGUGCCUAAUACAUGCAAGUCGAGCGAACAGACGAGGAGCUUGCUCCUCUGACGUUAGCGGCGGACGGGUGAGUAACACGUGGAUAACCUACCUAUAAGACUGGGAUAACUUCGGGAAACCGGAGCUAAUACCGGAUAAUAUAUUGAACCGCAUGGUUCAAUAGUGAAAGACGGUUUUGCUGUCACUUAUAGAUGGAUCCGCGCCGCAUUAGCUAGUUGGUAAGGUAACGGCUUACCAAGGCAACGAUGCGUAGCCGACCUGAGAGGGUCAUCGGCGACACUGGAACUGAGACAAGCUCCAUACUCCUACGGGAGGCAGCAGUAGGGAAUCUUCCGCAAUGAGCGAAAGCCUGACGGAGCAACGCCGCGUGAGUGAUGAAGGUCUUCGGAUCGUAAAACUCUGUUAUUAGGGAAGAACAAAUGUGUAAGUAACUAUGCACGUCUUGACGGUACCUAAUCAGAAAGCCACGGCUAACUACGUG